GGGCGUAUAGCUCAGCUUGGUUAGAGCGCACGCCUGAUAAGCGUGAGGUCGGUGGUUCGAGUCCACCUAUGCCCACCA
rnacentral:tRNA from 1 species